CUACAAACCAGGCAAAGAUGAGGAAGCGAAGGCCCUCUCCUUCGACCAAGUCGUGACCGUUGACGACAUUCAGAGUUUACACACCGAGCUCCUACAGCCUCUCAAUGACUCCACAUCCAUCGCUUAUAACAGAACUCUGCUGAUAUGCGGAGCCUCCACAGAGAAGAUUAGCACCUUGAUUGAUCGUGUUAUCAUCAAACAGGUCUUGACAAAUCUGUUUAGUCGUGUGUUGUCACAAGAGAAAGGGGAGUCGUUCAUCUCUGUGUCUGCCCUUCAGGUUUGUCCUUCUCUUUAAUAGCAUAGCCACGAAUCAGAGUAGACGCAGCGUGGUGCAGGAUAACUUCUGAUUUUUUGUCAAUGUCAGUUUUAUCCCGACGGCAGUGCUUUGGAUCUCCUGAGC